rnacentral:rRNA from 1 species
UACGGAGGGGGCUAGCGUUGUUCGGAAUUACUGGGCGUAAAGCGCGCGUAGGCGGCUUUUCAAGUCGGAUGUGAAAUCCCCGGGCUUAACCUGGGAACUGCCUUUGAUACUGGCGAUCUUGAGUUCGGGAGAGGUGAGUGGAACUGCGAGUGUAGAGGUGAAAUUCGUAGAUAUUCGCAAGAACACCAGUGGCGAAGGCGGCUCACUGGCCCGAUACUGACGCUGAGGUGCGAAAGCGUGGGGAGCAAACAGG